GUUCUCCCGACUUCCUGCAGGCUUCAUGGAAAUGAGAAUGUUAGCGGGACCCGUGUAGAACUCCCAGCUUCACUGCAACCCCAGUGAAAUGAAAUCUGUGUCUCUCUUGCAACCCAGAGAUCCAUCUAUGAGCUGGCAGAUAAUUACAGCUGUCCUUGGAGCCGAUCCAGCCUUCCUCCGCUCCCAGUUCAGGAAUUGGUGAUCAUGGAACAGAAUUAGUUUUUGUCUCGUUCGGUGUUUCGGGGGUCCAGUCUUUAAAUCCUGGGGCCCGGCUGAAUAAAAUAACACCAAGAUGUUGUUGUAUUUUUAUCCCCAAGGUGGAAGGAGAACUGACGUUUCUCGAACCCCCUGCUUCACGCCCGCACACUGGACGCUAAAUUACGGCAUCCGAUCUUCCCUGCCGCGCUAUCUGGGGAGAAUCCUGAUUCUUGUUUCAUUGUCCUGGGCCCCCAGGAGGUGGAGAACCUCAUCGUUGAGCAAGUGCAUCCAGGACUGCUUUGCCCUCCCAGCCCUCCUUGCCCUGACAGCAAAUCAAGAAAUUCACCCGUGAGGCGCUUGAACAGAAUGGCCUUCUAGAAGCUUGGCUCUUCCAGCUGUGGACGAUCGGCCCCGCGAACGGUCGCCAGUUCCUUCCUCUCAAGGCCCAUGCCGAAGGUGCGGUGUUAGGAAGGGAAAUGAUUUACCCCAGAUCUCGCUACAUUUAUUUACUUAGCAGUGGGGCCUGGUUUCAGAGUCCUGUUCUUCCUAAUUCCACGCUCCUGCCACUUAAUACCACCUUCCGGUCAAUAUCAUUUACACCAGUUACAGUUGGGAGGUUGGAGAAGCGCGAGACGAUGUCUGAAGACGAACUCUGUCUCCUCAGCAUCCAGGAGCAGCGUACGAAAGGGGAGACGUUUGCCGAUGUUCACCUGCUGCGAAACGGCGUCAGUGUCUUUAUGCGGCCAGCCUGGCAAACGUCAGCGGAGUCCCCCCUUGUCCCUGGGGCUCCCGUCACUGUUGGCUGUUGUGUAUGUCUUCAAGUCACGGAGUUAGGCUCUAGUCUUCAGUCUUUCUUCCUCCACCCACGGCUGCAGCUGGAUUUGGAUUAAUUAGAAUUAAGGGCUGUCGAGAGCCAACAGCCUUGUGUAGGGGAAGGGGAGAGAGCUGGAGCCAGAAGACAAGCCAGAGCCUCUGACUAUGACAAGAUGUUUUUGUGCCUGGGAUACGCCGGAAGAUAAAGACUGGGAGCCUCUGGCAUAGUCUGUCCUUGCUGGAUGGAUUCGCAAAUGCUCCGAGAGAAGUUGUCGCUGCCUUGCUUCUUCUUCCAGACCAGAGAGGCUGCUCUGGAACAGGCGGUGGAACAUGAAAGAGGCUAUUGAAAACGUCAAUGACUGGGAAACAGCAACCAACACCCACGAGCAGAUUUUGUGAGGCAUAAAAUCACAUCGCUGCUUCUGAACGCGGCCUGGCCAGGGACUCAUUUGGCUCCCCUUGGAAAACUGGAUAGAAAAACUGCACCGAACGAGGCUAGAGCUUUGUAUUAACCAUAACAUCAGAGAACGCAUUGCCAUUUGCCUUGACAACUUGAGUUUUUAUUUAUUUAUUUAUUUUUAAUAUAUGAAAUUCAUUGUCAAAUUAGUUUCCAUACAACACCCAGUGCUCAUCCCAAAAGGUGCCCUCUUCGAUGCCCAUCACCUACCCUUCCCUCCCUCCCACCCCCCCCCCCAUCAACCCUCAGUUUGUUCUCAGUUUCUAACAACUCAACUUUUUAAAAGACAAGUAAUUACGUAGGAGUUGGUGAAAAUAAAAAAAAGGGGGGGUAUAGACUGUCUCA
ensembl:lncRNA